rnacentral:rRNA from 1 species
UACGAAGGGGCUAGCGUUGCUCGGAAUUACUGGGCGUAAAGCGCACGUAGGCGGAUCUUUAAGUCAGGGGUGAAAUCCUGGAGCUCAACUCCAGAACUGCCUUUGAUACUGAGGACCUUGAGUUCGGGAGAGGUGAGUGGAACUGCGAGUGUAGAGGUGAAAUUCGUAGAUAUUCGCAAGAACACCAGUGGCGAAGGCGGCUCACUGGCCCGAUACUGACGCUGAGGUGCGAAAGCG